ensembl:lncRNA
AGAUUUCAUUGGAUCAUUUAGUAAACUAAAGAGACUUUACACUGUGUGUAUUGUACAUAUAGUUCUAUUGUAAUUAUCUCAUAAACAUUGGUCAUUCUGUGCCAUUUGCUAGUUUAACUGGUGGUCAAACAGUCCUAAAGAAGAUCUUCCCGUGAAAGCAGUUUACAGUAAAGCCAGCACUCAGAGAAGUGAUUUCCAGGCGAUCAGAGACGCUCCAGUCAGAGAACGAGAGACCAACAGACCCGCAGCAUCUGGAAUCGUUCCUGCUCUAAGUUCCCUUGACCAAUCAGAAAAGCUCCAAGAUUAUCAUAAACCUGAAUGAUUGUUGAAGAUCACACGAUCAGCCCUAAAGGAAAGAGGGUUCGUGUGGAGAGACGGGAGGCGACGGGGCCCGGGACAUUCCAGAGCACAGAGGGGUCACGCUUGCCCUCGGCAGGGACGGCAGACCUGUUGAACUGCUCUCAGCUGGCCUCGCUUUCAGCUCAACAGAUGUGGGAGAGAAAAGAGGUCCGUCCCACCAGAGAGACCCCAGAGAUGAACCUUCCCAGACACGGAGGGGAAUCCCUUUCGUUCGGCUGGGACAGAGAACUGAACUCAUAAGAACAUAACCGGAUCAUAUUUCACCUCAAAACAGAAAGGAAAAAAUGUUGUAUAACGAAAGAUGAUUAUUUUCAUGAAGCACAUGAAGCACAAAUUCUCAUUACGGUAAUCUAAAAAUAAUUGAUAUAUAUUAUUUGUAAUAAUAGAUAAUAUUAUGCAUAGAAUACACAAACUGAGUUAGUCAUAAUCAGUUCAGCUUAGCUUGUACUGUUCAUGUUACUGUAUGUUCAGAAAGUUUCACAUAUGCAUUUUCAGAGUUAUUUUAUAUACUAUAACAGUACAUGUUCAUAUUUUGAAUGAGCUUUUAUGUUAUAAUUUCGUCUAUAUUUAAAUUUUUGUUACUGUUUUUUGUACUUUGUCAUUUUAUUAUUAUUAUUUUUAAUAUUUCUAUUUAGAUUUGUUUUUAAUUUAUUUCAAUUUCAGUUUUAGUUUUGUCAUGG